CCAUUUGUCCUCAGCAGAUGGCGCUGUUGGUUAAAAAAAAAUCCUCCCACUUCGCUGUUCCCUCACGUCGCCUGACUACACUUGGAAAAGAAAACUGAGCUUAGAAUAGAAACAUAUUAACAGGUGCCUGCAGACUACCUAGCUUCAGGCAGACAUCUUCUCCGAGGCUGUCGGUUUGCAGGUUACACGAUGGAUUACGACCAAAGAUACAAAAGGAACCAGGUUAACCCCGAGGGAAACCAAAACACCAGACACCCGAGACAGAGCGCAUCAGAUGUGUGUGGACAGGAUCAAACACUUCCAAAUCCAAAUGUUCACGGAAAUCCACAAGUAGCAACUGGACAGCCACGGUACUCAGAUGGAUACACCAUUGUCCCACCAAAUGAAUCUAAGCGAAACAAGAUGAAAACAAUUGCUCAAAAAAGAAGAAGAGGCUCUUAACAGAUGGAAAGAAACACAGAGAGUCCCUCUGUACGUGUGAAUCCAGAGAGGCUUGGUGGUGAUGUCACACUGGUUGAAGUCAGGCAAAAACAGCAAAUAAAUCAUCAAUCCAUGAAACUGCAGAAGAAA